AGUGAGUGAGUGAGUGAGUGAGUGAGUGAGUGAGUGAGUGAGUGAGUGAGUGAGUGAGUGAGUGAGUGAGUGAGUGAGUGGAAUGUACGCAAGGACGCUCAUGGUCUUUAUUGCUUUCUGAAGAUUGUUGCAAUGUUUUUAACAUGCGGUAUUGACAACUGGAGUGAAGCAGAUGACAAGUCUUAUUAUGAUUAUCACAACUAUGAUUACUGUGGUUGAUGUUAUUGUUAUUCAUGAUUAUUAUUAUUAUUAAGUGCUGGAUGCUAAGCUUUGUUGUGUUUUUAAUUUGGGGAUGUUUUAUAAAUUGUACAAUUUUGGGAAAAAAAAGCUUUUAUACUUUGCCUUGUUGUGGACAGCAAGCCAUGGGGCUUUUUUCUCGACCCUUUUAUUGUGCCAGUUGACGCUUUUUCUGUCGUGUUUGCUUUUUUUCUAAGGGGGUGGGGCACUGUUAUCCGUCUGUUUGAUAUUAAUUGCGACCUAUAUUCUGCACAUGCUUUUGCGUCACAAAUGUACACUAAUUGAAGAAUACUGAACCAAAAACAAUCUAGUACCUUGUAUACAUAAGUGCUUUUGUUCCAAUGUCUGUGUGCAGGUGCUUUUGGAUAUAUUUGGUGUGCUUUUGUUGUUCCUCUUCUUUUGUCACACGCUUGAAUAAGGUGCACACGUUGUUGUUGUUGUCGUCGUCGCGACUGAA